rnacentral:lncRNA from 1 species
CUGCUCCACAGCUGGGGAGAAGGAUUCCCUCCACCGUGCAGUUCAGGGUGAGGAAGGAUCCCAGCAAACUCUCAGGGUGGACGCCGGCAAUCCUGGCUACUGGAAAGUUCACAUUCUCACAGCCCCGCAGCCCACCUAGGCGAAAACAGUAAGAGGUGGUUUGAUUCUUCCAUUUUGACUCUAGACCACAAACAAUAAAGACUUCCAAGUCUCCUUGGAUCCGUGUAACAGAAAAUUGUUCGAUGUGGUGGGCAGAAGGCCCGGAAGCUGUGGCUGGCCUGGGAGAGUGACUGGCCCGAGCUUCCCCUCCCGACCACCCUGCAGAAGAGAAGUCACCGUCCCUGCAUGGCAGAGCUGUGUUACUACCAAACACAAGUGCGAGGAAGGCUUUUUCUCUGCCAGGGUAACUGCACGGAGCCUUCACUUCUCCCUGCCGUGGACAGCCAGCCGGCCAGGCUCCUCGGAGCUCUCAGUUCGGCCUUGACCUUGGCCCCUGUCCUCGCUAACCGGGUGUGACCCAAGUUUUAGCAAGAAUCUGAUCGAGCUCCAUCUCUCCCCUGUUGUGAUGCUCCUAUUCCAAGAGCCCCAAAUAAAGUCAUCGUUAUUUAACAAGUGUCAAAUUAAUUUUUGAAUACAUUUCAGCAGGAAGCUUAGAGGUUUUAAAAUUUUUUUAGCAUUGCAGAAGCAACAGUUGGGGGAGUGGGUCAUAGUUACUGGCAUAGUAGCCAAUAAUCUAGCCAACCAUUGAACUGUGUUCUGGUAAAU